UAAGUCCUACGGGAGGCAGCAGUGAGGAAUAUUGGUCAAUGGCCGCAGGGCUGAACCAGCCAAGUCGCGUGAGGGAUGACGGUCCUAUGGAUUGUAAACCUCUUUUGUCAGGGAGCAAAGGGCGCCACGUGUGGCGUUUUGCGAGUACCUGAAGAAAAAGCAUCGGCUAACUCCGUGCCAGCAGCCGCGGUAAUACGGAGGAUGCGAGCGUUAUCCGGAUUUAUUGGGUUUAAAGGGUGCGCAGGCGGGCUGUUAAGCCGGCGGUAAAAAUUCAGGG
rnacentral:rRNA from 1 species